rnacentral:rRNA from 1 species
GUUGUAUAGUCAAGUAAUUAAGUGCAUGUGGUGGAUGCCUUGGCAGUCAGAGGCGAUGAAAGACGUGAUAGCCUGCGAAAAGCUCCGGGGAGGCGGCAAAUAUCCUUUGAUCCGGAGAUAUCUGAAUGGGGGAACCCACCCGCUAUAAGGCGGGUAUCAAUAACUGAAUACAUAGGUUAUUGAAGCGAACGAGGGGAAGUGAAACAUCUCAGUACCCUUAGGAAAAGAAAUCAAUUGAGAUUCCCUUAGUAGCGGCGAGCGAACGGGGAUCAGCCCAUUAAGUUGUGUGUGUUCUAGUGGAACGCUCU